rnacentral:rRNA from 1 species
GAUGAACGCUGGCGGCGUGCUUAACACAUGCAAGUCGAACGGAAAGUCCCCUGCCUGCAGGGGUACUCGAGUGGCGAACGGGUGAGUAACACGUGGGUGAUCUGCCCUGUACUUCGGGAUAAGCUCGGGAAACUGGGUCUAAUACCGGAUAUGACAUUCUCCUGGAUGGGGGUGUGGAGAGCUUUUGCGGUAUGGGAUGAGCUCGCGGCCUAUCAGCUUGUUGGUGGGGUAGUGGCUUACCAAGGCUUUGACGGGUAGCCGGCCUGAGAGGGUGUGCGGCCACAUUGGGACUGAGAUACGGCCCAGACUCCUACGGGAGGCAGCAGUGGGGAAUAUUGCACAAUGGGCGGAAGCCUGAUGCAGCAACGCCGCGUGGGGGAUGACGGCCUUCGGGUUGUAAACUCCUUUCGCAACCGACGAAGCUUUUGUGACGGUAAGUUGAGAAGAAGCACCGGCUAACUACGUG